rnacentral:rRNA from 1 species
GAUGAACGCUGGCGGCGUGCCUAAUACAUGCAAGUCGAGCGAACGGACGAGAAGCUUGCUUCUCUGAUGUUAGCGGCGGACGGGUGAGUAACACGUGGAUAACCUACCUAUAAGACUGGGAUAACUUCGGGAAACCGGAGCUAAUACCGGAUAAUAUUUUGCACCGCAUGGUUCAAAAGUGAAAGACGGUCUUGCUGUCACUUAUAGAUGGAUCUGCGCUGCAUUAGCUAGUUGGUAAGGUAACGGCUUACCAAGGCAACGAUGCAUAGCCGACCUGAGAGGGUGAUCGGCCACACUGGAACGGGGACACGGUCCAGACUCCUACGGGAGGCAGCAGUAGGGAAUCUUCCGCAAUGGGCGAAAGCCUGACGGAGCAACGCCGCGUGAGUUAUGGAGGUCUUCGGAUCGUAAAACUCUGUUAUUAGGGAAGAACAUAUGUGUAAGUAACUGUGCACAUCUUGACGGUACCUAAUCAGAAAGCCACGGCUAACUACGUG